rnacentral:rRNA from 1 species
GACAGAGGUUGCAAGCGUUGUUCGGAAUUACUGGGCCUAAAGCGCACGUAGGUGGUCCGCUAAGUCGGAUGUGAAAUCCCUCGGCUCAACCGGGGAACUGCGUCUGAUACUGGGUGGCUUGAAUCCGGGAGAGGGAUGCGGAAUUCCAGGUGUAGCGGUGAAAUGCGUAGAUAUCUGGAGGAACACCGGUGGCGAAGGCGGCAUCCUGGACCGGCAUUGACGCUGAGGCGCGAAAGCCAGGGGAGCAAACGGG